UAACAAGGUCUCCGUUGGUGAACCAGCGGAGGGAUCAUUGUUGGAACGCGCUCCGGCGCACCUCCAGACAACCCUUUGUGAACUUAUACCUAUACUGUUGCCUCGGCGUCAGGCUGGCCCCCCUCGGGGGGUCCCUCACCAUCUCGGUGAGGAGCAGGCCCGCCGGCGGCCAAGUUAACUCUUGUUUUUACACUGAAACUCUGAGAAUAAAACAAAAAUGAAUCAAAACUUUCAACAACGGAUCUCUUGGUUCUGGCAUCGAUGAAGAACGCAGCGAAAUGCGAUAAGUAAUGUGAAUUGCAGAAUUCAGUGAAUCAUCGAAUCUUUGAACGCACAUUGCGCCCUCUGGUAUUCCGGAGGGCAUGCCUGUUCGAGCGUCAUUUCAACCCUCAAGCCUGGCUUGGUGAUGGGGCACUGCCUUCGGUAAGAAGGCAGGCCCUGAAAUUCAGUGGCGAGCUCGCCAGGACCCCGAGCGCAGUAGUUAAACCCUCGCUUUGGAAGGUCUUGGUGCGGCCCUGCCGUUAAACCCCCAACUUCUGAAAAUUUGACCUCGGAUCAGGUAGGAAUACCCGCUGAACUUAAGCAUAUGGGCAUUGUUGCAGGUCCGGUAUGCCUAGUAACGGCGAGUGAAGCGGCAACAGCUCAAAUUUGAAAUCUGGCCUCGGCCCGAGUUGUAAUUUGCAGAGGAUGUUUCUGGCGCGGUGCCUUCCGAGUUCCCUGGAACGGGACGCCAAAGAGGGUGAGAGCCCCGUAUGGUCGGACACCAAGCCUGUGUGAAACUCCUUCGACGAGUCGAGUAGUUUGGGAAUGCUGCUCUAAAUGGGAGGUAAAUCUCUUCUAAAGCUAAAUACCGGCCAGAGACCGAUAGCGCACAAGUAGAGUGAUCGAAAGAUGAAAAGCACCUUGAAAAGGGGGUUAAAUAGUACGUGAAAUUGUUGAAAGGGAAGCACUUAUGACCAGACUUGGGCCGGGCGGCUCAUCAGGGGUUCUCCCCUGUGCACUCCGCCCGGCACAGGCCAGCAUCGGUUCUCGUGAGGGGAUAAGACCGUCAGGAACGUAGCACCCUCCGGGGUGUGUUAUAGCCUGACGGACGAUACCCUCGUGGGACGUGAGGUUCGCGCUCCGCAAGGAUGCUGGCGUAAUGGUCAUCAGUGACCCGUCUUGAC
rnacentral:rRNA from 1 species